UAACCCUUGAGUCCAGGAAUAUCUAACUUCAGUUAUGACUGGAUCCAGGGACUUAAAUGAUAUCACUAGAAUUCGCUUCUCCCCAUCCCUCUGCUCUGCCUGCUGCCUCGUUGGUUUCAUUCCCAGUCUCCUUGGUGUUUGACUGGCUACUCUAAGUUCUCAUGAUUAUGACACGUCCAGAAUGAGGGUGAGUUUCCCUACCAGCUCAACAAAAAUCCAAGAGCAUUGGCUUGGAUUGGCCUGACUCAUCCCAUCCUCGAACCAAUCCCGGGGGCUAGGGGAGUGGAGGAAGCCAACUGGUCAUGCGCUGUAGCCCCAGACUCGGGUAGGGAGUCAGUGUCACUGGUUGACAAUAAGGAAGGGAAGAGAAGUGGUCCUCAAAUGAAAAUUAGGAUGUUAUCAUAGAAAGGAAGAGUGGAUGCUGCAGAGGAAAGAUAACAAAUGACUAUUACAAUGGUGUAAAAGGAAACCCAUAGAGAAGAAAGAUGACAGAAUGUCCCCACCUCAAAGGCCAGCUCCAGUUGAUUGCUCGUGGCUCUCUGGAAUGUCACAUUGAGAAAGUGUCUGAGACUAAGCCAAAGAAAAAUACAGUGUCAUAAUGGAUUAGAAAUGUCUGCCACGUGCUACAAAACUGUUGACUGCUAGACUACAAAACCCUGGACCAAACCAUCACCAGCUGUCUCCUGGACAUAGAACAGUUUUCAACUACUGUCCCCAAAUCUAUUCUUGCCCUCCUGGACCCUCUACUGUGCUGCAGCUAGUAUGAUCAGAAAAGACAGGGAAGAGUUACCAGUCCCCAGGAAAAGCUGUGGCUGUAGGAAAGGGCUCUCUGCCAGGAGCCCCUGAGUGGAAUCAAUGAAGGAGUAGGCCUGCAGUAGAAUGAAUGAAUGAAUGAAUGAAUAAAGAAUAAAUACCGCA